rnacentral:rRNA from 1 species
CCUACGGGAGGCAGCAGUGGGGAAUAUUGGACAAUGGGGGAAACCCUGAUCCAGCGACGCCGCGUGAGUGAAGCAGUAUUUCGGUACGUAAAGCUCUAUCAGCAGGAAAGAAAAUGACGGUACCUGACUAAGAAGCCCCGGCUAACUACGGGCCAGCAGCCGCGGUAAUACGUAGGGGGCCUGCGUUAUCCGGAUGUACUGGGUGUAAAGGGAGCGUAGACGGCCGCGCAAGUCUGGAGUGAAAUGCCGGGGCCCAACCCCGGAACUGCCCUGGAAACUGUGAAGCUGGCGGGCAGGGGAGGUAAGCGGAAUUCGUGGUGUAGCGGUGAAAUGCUUAGAUAGCAGGAGGAACACCGGCGGCGAAGGCGGCUUACUGGACUGUAACUGACGUUGAGGCUCGAAGGCGUGGGGAGCGAACAGGAUUAGAUACCCCAGUAGUC